UACGUAGGGUGCAAGCGUUGUCCGGAAUUAUUGGGCGUAAAGAGCUCGUAGGCGGUUUGUCGCGUCUGCUGUGAAAUCCCGAGGCUCAACCUCGGGCUUGCAGUGGGUACGGGCAGACUAGAGUGCGGUAGGGGAGACUGGAAUUCCUGGUGUAGCGGUGGAAUGCGCAGAUAUCAGGAGGAACACCGAGUGGCGAAGGCAGGGUCUCUGGGCCGCAAACUGACGC
rnacentral:rRNA from 1 species